GACGAACGCUGGCGGCGUGCUUAACACAUGCAAGUCGAACGGACAGGCCCUGCUUUUGUUGGGUGCUCGAGUGGCGAACGGGUGAGUAACACGUGAGUAACCUGCCCUUGACUUUGGGAUAACUUCAGGAAACUGGGGCUAAUACCGGAUAGGAGCUCUUGCUGCAUGGUGGGGGUUGGAAAGUUUCGGCGGUUGGGGAUGGACUCGCGGCUUAUCAGCUUGUUGGUGGGGUAGUGGCUUACCAAGGCUUUGACGGGUAGCCGGCCUGAGAGGGGGACCGGCCACAAGGGGACUGAGAUACGGCGCAGACGCCUACGGGAGGCAGCAGUGGGGAAUAUUGCACAAUGGGCGGAAGCCUGAGGCAGCAACGCCGCGUGCGGGAUGACGGCCUUCGGGUUGUAAACCGAUGUCGCCUGUGACGAAGCGUGAGUGACGGUAAUGGGUAAAGAAGCACCGGCUAACUACGUG
rnacentral:rRNA from 1 species